rnacentral:rRNA from 1 species
GUAGGGAAUAUUGGACAAUGGGUGCAAGCCUGAUCCAGCCAUGCCGCGUGCAGGAAGAAAGCCUUCUGGGUUGUAAACUGCUUUUGCCAGGGGAUAAAAUAGUCUUGCGAGACGAAUUGAAGGUACCUGGUGAAUAAGCCACGGCUAACUACGUGCCAGCAGCCGCGGUAAUACGUAGGUGGCAAGCGUUGUCCGGAUUUAUUGGGUUUAAAGGGUGCGUAGGCGGUCAAAUAAGUCAGUGGUGAAAUACGGCAGCUUAACUGUCGAGGUGCCAUUGAUACUGCUUGACUUGAGUACUGAUGAGGUAGGCGGAAUGGACGGUGUAGCGGUGAAAUGCUUAGAGAUCGUCCAGAACACCGAUAGCGAAGGCAGCUUACUAAGGAGUAACUGACGCUGAGGCACGAAAGUGUGGGGAUCAAACAGGAUUAGAAACCCGGGUAGUCC